UCCAGCCCAAGAUUCCCAGGUAUUCAAAGUCCAUGAUCAGGACAGGAUACAGACCACUGGCCAUGGAGUUUGGGCUCAGCUGGAUUUUCCUCGUUGCUAUUUUAAGAGGUGUCCACUGUGAUGUGCAGCUUGUGGAGUCUGGGGGAGGCUUGGUGAAACCUGGGGGUUCCCUCAAACUCUCCUGCCUGGCCUCUGGGUUCACCUUCAGUAACUACGGAAUGCACUGGGCCCGCCAGGCUCCAGGGAAGGGGCUGGAGUGGUUCUCAUACAUUAGUGGUAACAGUGGUAUCAUAUACUACGCUGACUCUGUGAAAGGCCGAUUCACCAUCUCCAGAGACAAUGGCAAGAACACGGUCUACCUGCAAAUGGACAACCUGAAAGCCGAGGACACGGCCAUGUAUUACUGUGCGAGAGACACAGUGAGGGGAAGUCAUUGUGAGCCCAGACAAAAACUUCCCUGGAAACCAGAGGGUUAG